rnacentral:ribozyme from 1 species
AAAGAGAGAGAGAGAAAGAUGGAGAUAGGAUAGAAGGAUUGGUAGUAGGUUCUAAUUGUUUGAUAUCAUUGGAUUCAUUCUCUCUUUCUCUUUCUGGCUCUCCUUCUCUCUCU